AAACUAUGGAACAGGAAAUUGCAGUUUUUCCGAUAUAGAGUCUAGCAAGGAGCUGUUUAUCAAAUUUGACAGGACUUACAUUUAGUGACUGAUUUCAAGUUGUGCAUAACUUGAGAUUUACAAAUGUUCGUCUUACCAUCCAUGUGUAUUCAAUAUGUUGUGUAUGUAACAGCUUUUUAAUGAUUGUGUACUUGUGUCAGAUAUAAACCGACC
rnacentral:lncRNA from 1 species